UACACUCCUACGGGAGGCAGCAGUGGGGAAUAUUGGACAAUGGGCGCAAGCCUGAUCCAGCCAUGCCGCGUGAGUGAUGAAGGCCCUAGGGUUGUAAAGCUCUUUCACCGGUGAAGAUAAUGACGGUAACCGGAGAAGAAGCCCCGGCUAACUUCGUGCCAGCAGCCGCGGUAAUACGAAGGGGGCUAGCGUUGUUCGGAUUUACUGGGCGUAAAGCGCACGUAGGCGGACUAUUAAGUCAGGGGUGAAAUCCCGGGGCUCAACCCCGGAACUGCCUUUGAUACUGGUAGUCUUGAGUUCGAGAGAGGUGAGUGGAAUUCCGAGUGUAGAGGUGAAAUUCGUAGAUAUUCGGAGGAACACCAGUGGCGAAGGCGGCUCACUGGCUCGAUACUGACGCUGAGGUGCGAAAGCGUGGGGAGCAAACAGGAUUAGAAACCCUUGUAGUCCCAU
rnacentral:rRNA from 1 species